ACGCCGCCGCCGCCGCCGCCGCCCGGCCGCUCCGCCUUGGCCGCGUACACACCCCUGCGCGUACGCCCGCCCCUGGCACACGCGGGUCCCGCCGCGCACCCUCUCCGGGGCUGGCCGGCUCGGAGCCGCUCGCACACUCACGCGCGUACCCACAUCGCCCUCGCACCCGCACAAGCCAUGGGGUCCUCGCUUCUUCGCCCCGCACGGCGCCACGCAGCCAAGCAUCGUCUGCCCUGCGGGGGCGCAGUGCUCUUUGGGGACAGAGAAAGUUCGUGGGCACACUUCCAAGAGGCCUUCGUGUGCAUGUUGGCCGUGCUGCAGGCUGUAACAGGAAGGAACGAGAUAGGCUGUAUCCAUCCGUUAGAAUGAGAGGAGGUUCCAUGGAGAUUGUGGAGUCAAAAUCCGACCCUGUUCUUCUUCAGAGGCACUGGCCUGCGUCACACAUAUCCCUUCCUCCAUGCCUGAAUCUGCACAGCCUCAGAUAAACAAGUUAAAAAUAAUUUUUAAAAGAUUUGAGUCUUUAAAAAAGAAGAGGGAGAGGAAAGAGAAGCAGCAGCGAGUAUCACGCAGAGCGGGUUAAACCACCACUUGGGAUGCCGCCAUCCCGUAUCAGAGCACUGGUUCAAGUCCUGGCUACUCCACACUUCUGAUCCAGCUUCAUGCUAAUGUCCCUGGAAGGCAGCACCUGAUGCCCCAAGUGCUUGAGUCUCUGCCACCUACAUGGGAGACCUGGAUGGAGUUCCUGGCCCAGUGAGCCACUAGACAGAAGAUCUCCACCACAGCCCCCAGCACAUCUCUGUCAUCCUGCCUUUCAAAUGAAUCUUGGAAAAGAAGGAGAGAUAGGCGUGCUCACUAGCACUCUUUCUGCUCUACACCAAGGAGCCAUCAGUCUGCAGCCUGGCAAAGUGCUCUCACCAGAACCUGACCCUGCCGGCGUUUGAUCUCACACGCGUCCAUUGCUUACAAGCCGCGCAGCCCAUGGUAGUCUGGUGGUAAAGGAGCAUGACCUGAAUAAGCCUUGUCUGUGCACAGGACAUGUGAUAGAAAUGAUUGAUAAAUAAUCGCUAUCUUGCUUUGUGCAGUUUCUUCAAUUCCCUAGCAUUAAGACAGCCCAUUUCUAAAAUGGGAUAGUAACCCUUAUAUAUGUAUUUGACCAAUAUUUACUGAGCUCCUUUUAAGUGCCCGUCACUGCUUUGGGAGCUGAAGAUACUGCAUUCAAUAAAACAAGGUUCCUGUCCUUGUGGACUUUGCAUUCUUGUGAGUGGAGGAAGUGGACAAGAAGACAACCAAAUAAACAUGACACUGAAAACACAUAAGGCAGAUUCAUGUAGUACUGUGUGCUUUUUUAACAUAUGGUGGUCAGGAAAGGUCAUGAUGACAUGAGCUGUGAUCUGAAUCAGCUGAGCAAGUGUUCUGGAGGCAGAAAGUAGAGUCCACUCAUGGAGUAUAGCAGGUGCAAAGGACCUGAGGUGGGACUAUGCAUUCAGAUGCAGGGAAUAGCUAUGAGACCACUGUGGCUGGAGCAGAGCUGGCGAGAAGAAAGCAGUGGGUGGGACUGCAAGGGGAGAUGCACGUCCUGGAGCCCAGAGUCUCACAGCCGGGGCAGGACACGGGGAGUGUACAAAGUGUGCUCGGGAGCCAUCAGGGGGACUCGCGGGAAGAGUAACAAGGGCUGACACAGACACAAAGAACCAUGACCCAUAGCAGAAUGUGGUGCACUGGGGACACACGAAGCACUCAACCAGUUAGGGAGUGAGGUUAUUUCACACUUGAGAGUGCAAGAAAGCAUCAAAGAGGAAACUGUUUGAACUGAGUAGAUAUGAAACAGGAAGAAGCCAGGAAGCCCAAGGAAAGCUGUGAGCCUAAUGUUGAUGUGAUUCAUUCAUUCACUCGUUCAUUCAUGCACUCACCACUGUGCUGCACACUACACUAAGUGCUAAGAAUACAGUGAUGUAUCCGGUUUUUCCACCCAGCACCUGUCUUCAGGGAGUUCACUAUGCAGGAUGUAUGGAGUGGGUGAGACUGCUGUUAGUCCUUGUUAAGCCACCAAGAUUCUGGCCUUUUGUGUUAUUGCAGAAUGACAUCCUUUGGUGGUGGUCUCCACUACUGAAUGAGGUGCUAUUUGCAUGUUAGCUUCUCCAUUAAAGACAGGCAGAUAAUUGUCACGCAGACUGUGACACGAUGACAUUCUGCCUGGUUGAGACAGCUCCAUCAGCAAACCCACUUCAUAUUUCCAUAAUCAGCUUCAAGAAAGCCAGUGCCACACAUUUGGCGAGGGUAGUAUCAAGGUCCUACUAAUGGUUCAUUGUCUCAAAGUAAAGCAUGAAAAGCAAAAAUGGAAUCUAUGUGAAGACUGCAAGCCAUCCCAGAGAGGAGCGACCUGGCCCCUGUGCUAACCAAGCUCUUCAAGGAGUGCUUAUUUUGUGCCAGGGAUUUUGCUAAGUGUUUCACAAUCAGUGGCUUGUGUCAUCCUCAAAACGGUCUGCGGUCCCCGUUCAUCCUGGUUCUUCAGGGUGCACUGCCCGCAUCCAGCUGCUACUCGGGCAGGACCUGGCCUGUGGGCUUUCUCUUCCUGUCACUCCCUCCCUACACGGACCAUGUGGCAAGCCAGGAGCAUCAGGAGAUUCACACCUCCUCCUUGCACACGUUCUCACACAUGCCCAUGCACAGGCAUGCACUCGCGUACAAGAGCAACCCUCACUCGAGGAUGGAUGGGAGUCGGGGGUGAACACUGGAGCUCCCUCAUCCCUUGAGUGUGUGUCUUACAUGGUCUCCCAGAGCCCCCCAGCGGAAGUGAGCUUAUGGCACCCAAAGUGCUAAGUUUCCUGGUAACUCACCCACUUAUCACCCACUUCUCUUUCCUGUCUCCCUUUACUACUCAUCUACCUUCACCUCCCAAUUCACUACUUGCUCUUAAAUCCUUGUCUCUGCACUCUGACCUCAGAAUCAGCCCUUAAGGCAUUCUGGUCUGGCUGAAAAGCCCACGAGAGCAUUUCAGGCAUGGAAAGCCAAGACACUGUGGCAAAAAAAAGGCCUACAUGAAGGACCUUGGUGGGUGAGAUCCCAGUGGAAAGAAGUGGCCAUCAAAGAAGGAUGUACUUUUCUCUGAAGGGAGGAGAGACCUUCCACUUUGCUUAUGGCCUUGUCUAAAUACUGAUGGGGACUGUGGAUUCAAAAGCCUUCCAUAGCCUGUGCAACUCAUGUCAAGAGCCUCAGGUGAUCAUUGACAUCAUAUCUAAGAGUGUUAAUGGUUAAAUUAACAACAGGAGUCACUCCGCACUAACUUUCCAUGCAGAACCUCUGUCCUCAAAGAGUUGUAUUAUGAGAGUUAGCAGUAAAACUUGUUCUCAAAGAUUUAUUUCAUUUUAGUAUAUUAAGUGGAGGAUAUUCUUAUGUCAAGUAAGUUUCAGUUAUGCCUUAGUGUCCAACUCCAUUGCUUGUUUUCUUAGGUGCUUCCUUAAUUAAUGAUAAAACUUGUUCUCAAGUACUUACUUUCUUUUAAUGUAUUAAAUGGAGGCUAUUCUUAUGUCUCACAAGUUAUAGUUAUGUCUAAAUGCUUGCAAAAGAUGUAUCAUUUUUGGAUGCUUCUUUAAAGUUAAUUAAGUUUCUAAAAAAAGGAGUGAAAUUAACUUCAAAAUGCAAUGACUUUGAACAGCCCUUGUCUCCACUGUUGAGGAACGUUUUUUUGUGUGUGCAAAUUGUUGAACUCUUUACUUAGUAUAGAGUAUAGUAUAGAGUUGGUCUUCUGAGUAUAAAGUUAAUUGAAGAUGGAUCUUAGUGGAGAAUGGGACUGGGAAUGGGAGAGGGAGGAAGAUGGUAUGGUGGGAAGAAUCACUAUAUUCCUAAAGUUGUACUUAUGAAAUGCAUGAAGUUUGUAUUCCUUAAAUAAAAGAUUUCUUUGGG